UCUCAGUUCGGAUUGAAGUCUGCAACCCGACUUCAUGAAGCUGGAUUCGCUAGUAAUCGCGCAUCAGCCACGGCGCGGUGAAUACGUUCCCGGGCCUUGUACACACCGCCCGUCAAGCCAUGGGAGCCGGGGGCGCCUGAAGUCCGGGACCGCGAGGACCGGCCUAGGGCGAAACUGGUGACUGGGGCUAAGUCGUAACAAGGUAUC
rnacentral:rRNA from 1 species